AAUCAACGCUGGCGGCGCGCCUCAGACAUGCAAGUCGAACGAUUAAGACUUCCUUCGGGAGGUGCAUAAAGUGGCGCACGGGUGAGUAACACGUAAGUAAUCUACCCUCGAGUGGGGAAUAACGUUCGGAAACGAACGCUAAUACCGCAUAACGCAGCGGCACCGCAAGGUGACAGUUGUUAAAGGAGCAAUCCGCUUGAGGAGGAGCUUGCGGCAGAUUAGCUAGUUGGUAAGGUAAUGGCUUACCAAGGCUACGAUCUGUAUCCGGUCUAAGAGGACGGUCGGACACACUGACACUGAAUAACGGGUCAGACUCCUACGGGAGGCAGCAGUCGGGAAUUUUGGGCAAUGGGCGAAAGCCUGACCCUGCAACGCCGCGUGAAGGAUGAAGUAUUUCGGUAUGUAAACUUCGAAAGAAUGGGAAGAAUAAAUGACGGUACCAUUUAUAAGCUCCGGCUAACUACGUGCCAGCCGCCGCCGUAAUAC
rnacentral:rRNA from 1 species